rnacentral:rRNA from 1 species
UACGUAGGGGGCGAGCGUUGUCCGGAUUUAUUGGGCGUAAAGAGCGUGUAGGCGGCCAGACAGGUCAGCUGUGAAAACUCGAGGCUCAACCUCGAGACGUCGGUUGAAACCGUCUGGCUAGAGUCCGGAAGAGGAGAGUGGAAUUCCCGGUGUAGCGGUGAAAUGCGCAGAUAUCGGGAAGAACACCCGUGGCGAAGGCGGCUCUCUGGGACGGUACUGACGCUGAGACGCGAAAGCGUGGGGAGCGAACAGG